rnacentral:rRNA from 1 species
GAUGAACGCUGGCGGCGUGCCUAAUACAUGCAAGUCGAGCGAACAGACGAGGAGCUUGCUCCUCUGACGUUAGCGGCGGACGGGUGAGUAACACGUGGAUAACCUACCUAUAAGACUGGGAUAACUUCGGGAAACCGGAGCUAAUACCGGAUAAUAUAUUGAACCGCAUGGUUCAAUAGUGAAAGACGGUUUUGCUGUCACUGAUAGAUGGAUCCGCGCCGCAUUAGCUAGUUGGUAAGGUAACGGCUUACCAAGGCAACGAUGCGUAGCCGACCUGAGAGGGUGAUCGUCCACACUGGAACUGAGACACGGUCCAGACUCCUACGGGAGGCAGCAGUAGGGAAUCUUCCGCAAUGGGCGAAAGCCUGACGGAGCAACGCCGCGUGAGUGAUGAAGGUCUUCGGAUCGUAAAACUCUGUUAUUAGGGAAGAACAAAUGUGUAAGUAACUAUGCACGUCUUGACGGUACCUAAUCAGAAAGCCACGGCUAACUACGUG